rnacentral:rRNA from 1 species
AACGAACGCUGGCGGCGCGCCUAAUACAUGCAAGUCGAGCGAGAAGACGUAGCAAUACGUUUGUAAAGCGGCGAACGGGUGAGGAAUGCAUGGGUAACCUACCCUCGAGUGGGGAAGUAACUAGCCGAAAGGUUAAGCUAAUACCGCGUACGCUCCUUGGACUUCGGUUCAGGGAGGGAAAGCGAUACCGUGGGUAUCGCGCUCUUGGAUGGGCUCAUGUCCUAUCAGCUUGUUGGGAGGUAACGGCUCACCAAGGCUUCGACGGGUAGCUGGUCUGAGAGGACGAUCAGCCACACUGGCACUGCGACACGGGCCAGACUCCUACGGGAGGCAGCAGUAAGGAAUAUUGCGCAAUGGGCGAAAGCCUGACGCAGCGACGCCG